rnacentral:lncRNA from 1 species
AUUUUGUGGAAGAGGGAGGAUGUACUGUGAGCAAAUGCCCUCUGCCAGCUGAUCCUACAGAGACACGUGGUUGAACAGGUCCAGACUUGCAUGUAUUUAUGGACACGUCAUUGAGGCCAUGCUGGUUUGUUAGCAGAGCCCCCAUUUUUGUUUGGUUAAAAAAUCCAUCCUGAAAUUAUGGAUAAACAAGCAAACUGCAGAAUUACAUGGAUAACUUUUAUAGCGGAACCCCCAUUUUUGUUUGGUUAAAAAAUCCAUCCUGUAAUUAUGGAUAAACAAGCAAACUGCAGAAUUACAUGGAUAACUUUUAUAGCAGAACCCCCAUUUUUGUUUGGUUAAAAAAUCCAUCCUGAAAUUAUGGAUAAACAAGGAAACUGCAGAAUUAGUGGAUAAUUUUUGUAGCAAAACCCCCAUGUGUUUGGUUAAAAAGAUCCAUCCUGAAAUUCUGGAUAAACAAGGAAACUGCAGUAUUGGUGGAUAAGUUUUAUAGCAGAACCCCCAUGUGUUGUUUGGUUAAAAAAUCCAUCCUGAAAUUGUGGCUAAACAAGGAAACUGCAUUAUUAUCUGGAUAAUUUUUAUAGCAGGCAAUGGGGCACAUUUCAAAGCCUCUUGCAAGGAGGUUUAAAUACUUUUAAAAAGUCACAGAUUAUUGUAAAUUGUCAAUUUUUUACACUUUUAGAGAGGUGGGGUUUUUAGAAACAAAGUAUAAAACCCCCCAGACCAGACAACCUCUCUUGAGUGUUCAGAAGUAAAGAGAAUUAUCCAUGAAAUGUCAUAAAAUCUUCAUGUUAUAAUAAGGAAAACAGCAGCUAAUUAGGAAAGAGCAUUUAAAUGAUUUGGCACUUUUGUCUGGAAAAGGAUUUCUGUAAAAUUUAUUAGGAUGAGACGAAUCUUUAGCAGAUCAUAUGUUCAAGAUUUAUUUCUUUCAAAGAAAAUAAGCACAUAAAUGCUUAACAUAUCAAACUGAUUUAAAUUUGGAUCAUUAAUUGAUGGCAGUAGAUGUCUUUGUCUCAAAAUUAGGAUCUC